rnacentral:rRNA from 1 species
AGAGAGAGACAUGCGCGCAUAUCAAUAAGCGGAGGAAAAGAAACUAACAAGGAUUCCCUUAGUAACGGCGAGUGAAGCGGGAAGAGCUCAAAUUUGAAAUCUUCAAGGUUUUACCUUGACGAAUUGUAGUUUAAAGAAGUGUUUUCUGCUGAAGUUUUGGUAAAAGUUCUUUGGAAUAGGACAUCAUAGAGGGUGAGAAUCCCGUAUUUGACCAUUAUUUUCAGCUUUGUGAUACACUUUCAAAGAGUCGGAUUGUUUGGGAAUGCAGUCCAAAAUGGGUGGUAAAUUUCAUCUAAAGCUAAAUAUUGGCUGAGAGACCGAUAGCGAACAAGUACCGUGAGGGAAAGAUGAAAAGAACUUUGAAAAGAGAGUUAAACAGUACGUGAAAUUGUCAAAAGGGAAGCGUUUGACACCAGUGUUGUUUUCUCGAAAAUCAAUUAAAAAUGGCUCGAUUUUGUAUUGUUGAGACCUUAAAAGCUCACUGUACAUUUUUCGUGUCUUUUUUAAUGCACUUUUCGUUUAACAAGUCAACAUCAGUUUCUUUUGUUGUAAAAGGGUCAUUGGAAGGUGGCUUUCUUUUCGGAGAAAGUGUUUAUAGCCUUUGGCCUCUGCAAUCGAAGAGACUGAGGUCUGCAGCGUAGACUCUUCGGGGUUAGAUACAUUUGUGCUAAGUUAUAGCUUUUUAUAGACAACUUGUUGACUAUAAUUAGUCUUGUAGCUUACUCGCUUAUGCUAUUUUACCUACGCUUAGGAUGUUGAAGUCAUCGUAUCGCGC